AACGCACAUUGCGCCCUCUGGUAUUCCGGGGGGCAUGCCUGUUCGAGCGUCAUUAUAACCACUCAAGCUCUCGCUUGGUAUUGGGGUUCGCGCUUUCGCGGCCCCUAAAAUCAGUGGCGGUGCCUGUCGGCUCUACGCGUAGUAAUACUCCUCGCGAUUGAGUCCGGUAGGUCUACUUGCCAGCAACCCCUAAUUUUUUUAAGGUUGACCUCGGAUCAGGUAGGGAUACCCGCUGAACUUAA
rnacentral:misc_RNA from 1 species